UAAUACACUUAUUUAAAUUGCGCAUGGAAUAAGCAUUUUAUGAGAAUUUAUUUAUCUGAAUCACUGUUUCUGUGAGAGAUAAUGAAGGAGGACAUUAAAAUAAAAUAAAAAUUACCUUGAAAAUUGCAACGUCGAGCUUGGUGGGAUGAAAUCCUACAUUAUGUGUGGAUGCUACCGAUUUUUGCAACAAAUGCACUAGUAUUUGCUAUUGGUAUGACUUUUCUUUGUAUCCAUACCCGACAGUUUGUGGGAGAUGUUUUUACACACCAUCCAACAAUAAUACUAACACUUGCCGUAAUUUAUUUAGUCUUCACUCACUUGACAAAAAGUUAUGCUACCUUGUAUGUGAUAGGUCUGUGUCUGCCUUUUUUCAAAAAUUGGUGUUUUCGAAUUACAAUUUGCUUUUACUUGAUGCACAUCUUCCUAUUUCCUAUAGCUUUGCAUUAUCUGGAAUUAAUCAUGAUUCCUGAAUCUGGUUAAUGUAUAACCAUUUUUCAUAGGUUAAGUGCUCGAGAGCCGAAACGAGUUUAAAAAACAAUUACUUUUGAAGAUUGAUUUUCAAUAAAGUUUUGUUUAUUUAACAAUCUUCUCCCGAUAACUUGAAGCUUCAUCGUGUGAAAUUGAAUUGUGUAUGUGCAUUUAAUUUCGUAACUAUGAUUCUAGAUAUAAGUUAGAAGUUUUGAAAAUAAAUUUGUGUUGAAUAAAAUCAUUUUAGAACGCA